AGUUUGCUGGCCUUCAAGGAGCAACAUGUUACCUGCAUCCACCUGGAUACAACCACAAGACUAUCAAGGUUUACUUUGACUGCAGGACGAGCAGCAUGUGGACAAGCCAGUCAAGAAGGACUGAGGUUCAUGUGAACUCAGAAAGAACAUUGAAGACAGACGAGUUGACUGAAAUAUCAUCAACAUGGAGGAGACACUGUGACUGAACCUCGUGGUUAUAAUGUGGCGGGAGGAGACGCCCCUGAACUGAAGGCCACGACCAUCAAUCCAUCAGGAGGGGAAACCCAGCGGCAGCCGCGGUACACAAUGCAGGACGUUACUCUUUUAUAGCUGCAUGUUUGUGAGCUCUGAUGAGGGGGGGGGGGAUAUGUAUCAGGUCAGAGCCGUGUUGUGUUCAAUGUGACAGUAAAAGAGUGGGAUAUUCCUUUGAGGAUGGGGAGGGACCCCCACAGGCUGGGAGAUAAUGAGCUCAGAGAGAACCAGUGCAUGUAUUAUACAAAUAUUAAUGCAUACAUUUGAAAAAGUAAUGGACUCAUAAAUAAUCUGUAAAAAACUAAUGUGGGGAAAUAAAGAGAAAUAAAUAAAAGAAUAAAUAAAAUUAUGGGGAAAUAAAAUCUGCUAUUCCACUAAUAUUGACGUUUACAUGCAGCCGUGCACACCAUCAACGCCCCCAUGACGUCCGCCCGCCCUGUAAAGAACUUAGUUUUCUCUCCUUUACAAACUGCUUCUUUUCAUCAAAACAGGAUUUUUUAGGAUUUUCUUUCUCCUGUGGACGACUUGUUGGACAGUACAAACUCAGUCUGAGAUUUAGAGGAGCUGGUAGGUGGAGCCAGGCUAGCUGUUUCCAGUCUUUAUGCUAAGCUAACUGGCUGCUGGCUGCGAUUAGAGAUGCAGGAUUUGUGUGAUGUCUUGUCACCUCCUGGCACUUUUAUUAAGAGUAAACUAUUAAAAAUGUCCUCGAGCAAAACACCAAAUCUCU